UUAUGGGUCCACAAACCAUAGUUUUAUGAUCAUCCUUCCAGAAUUAAAGGUUAAUUCUCUUAAAUAUUAGUUCUCACCCCAAUUACUAAGUUCAGUGCAUUCUUUUCUUUUCAGCUUCAUGAAUCAAUGAAUUCCACAACCAACCCAGAAAGCCUCCCUUGCAUCUUGCAUCUCCCAGUUUUGUCUAAGCUAACUUUACUGUCAGGUACAUUUUCUGUUCUGUUUUCUGCACUGUUGCUGCAAUACCAGCAGAGCUCCUGGACUCACCUGGAUGAAUCUCUGAAAGUGAGGAAGCCAUGGCCUCUCUUCAAUUUUGCAGUCACUGUUGGACAUUGCCCUUGUAGCAAGAGAGCACAUCUUCAGCCUAGAGCCUGCUAGUCACAUGCACUGAUCCUGUUUUCUUGGAGGCCUUUCCUUCUAGAGCCAUCCAGAGAUCUCCGACGUCUUCUUGAAUGGAUUUGAAUCUGAGAUUAGAGACAUGUUUUUACAGUGUCAUCUCCUAAUUACCAUCACAACUUUACAUGUGUGGGGGAAGCCGUGAGCCACCGAGGGACUAGGACCAAGAUGUAUCUCAGCCAAAGAAGCCCCCAACAAUUACUUCUGCCAGGUAUCCCAGAAACCCAAGAUUCCUGAAUCUUGAGGCAAUCUCUCAUAACUUCUAAGCAGAGAGAAAAAAAAUGUCUAUUUUCUCCGUCAAUUGACACAGAUUUU
rnacentral:lncRNA from 1 species